AGAGAGGUUUACUAAGGCUGAGGAAUUCUCCGCUUGUGUUUCUCCUGACCUUGCUCCUUCUCCUGAGAACUGUUCUCCUGUUUAUUGUGAUGGCUGUGUGCUCACUGUGCUGUGUAUAACUUCACACAGGAUCACAUGGAGUUGACCAGACUGACACCUCUCUGAAGGAGCCACAAGUUGUGCAUGUCACACAAGGAACCAGGAAAGUCACACUGCAGGUCUGGCAGCUGGCCUCUCCCAUAAGAAACACUUUCUUAUGAAUUUGAAAAACUCU